CCUACGGGAGGCAGCAGUGGGGAAUAUUGGGCAAUGGGCGAAAGCCUGACCCAGCAACGCCGCGUGAAGGAAGAAGGCUUUCGGGUUGUAAACUUUUUUUGACAGGGAAGAGCAGAAGACGGUACCUGUCGAAUAAGCCACGGCUAACUACGUGCCAGCAGCCGCGGUAAUACGUAGGUGGCAAGCGUUGUCCGGAUUUACUGGGUGGAAAGGGCGUGUAGCCGGGCUGACAAGUCAGAUGUGAAAUCCGGGGGCUCAACCCCCGAACUGCAUUUGAAACUGUUGGUCUUGAGUAUCGGAGAGGCAGGCGGAAUUCCUAGUGUAGCGGUGAAAUGCGUAGAUAUUAGGAGGAACACCAGUGGCGAAGGCGGCCUGCUGGACGACAACUGACGGUGAGGCGCGAAAGCGUGGGGAGCAAACAGGAUUAGAUACCCUUGUAGUC
rnacentral:rRNA from 1 species